UCUCGACAGCGUAAAAGUUAACUCAACUUUGUAUGGAGUUGGAACGUUUGCCGCUAGGGGCGCUGUUCCAACUGCAUACAAAUUUGAGUUAACUUUUACGCUAUCGA
rnacentral:pre_miRNA from 9 species